UACGGGGGGUGCGAGCGUUGUCCGGAAUCACUGGGCGUAAAGGGCGCGUAGGUGGCGUCGUAAGUUUGUGGUGAAAGCCCGGAGCUCAACUCCGGGUCUGCCGCGAAUACUGCGAGGCUUGAGUACUGUAGAGGGGGGUAGAAUAUCGGGUGUAGCGGUGGAAUGCGUAGAGAUCCGAUAGAAGACCGGUGGCGAAGGCGGCCCCCUGGGCAGUAACUGACACUGAGGCGCGACAGCGUGGGGAGCAAACAGG
rnacentral:rRNA from 2 species